rnacentral:rRNA from 1 species
AUUGAACGCUGGCGGCAUGCUUUACACAUGCAAGUCGAACGGUAACAGCACUUCGGUGGCUGACGAGUGGCGAACGGGUGAGUAAUACAUCGGAACGUGCCUAGUAGUGGGGGAUAACUACUCGAAAGAGUAGCUAAUACCGCACGAGAUCUAAGGAUGACAGCAGGGGACCUUCGGGCCUUGCGCUACUAGAGCGGCUGAUGGCAGAUUAGGUAGUUGGUGGGAUAAAAGCUUACCAAGCCGACGAUCUGUAGCUGGUCUGAGAGGACGACCAGCCACACUGGGACUGAGACACGGCCCAGACUCCUACGGGAGGCAGCAGUGGGGAAUUUUGGACAAUGGGCGCAAGCCUGAUCCAGCAAUGCCGCGUGCAGGAUGAAGGCCUUCGGGUUGUAAAAUGCUUUUGUACGGAACGAAAAGCCCUCUUCUAAUACAGGAGGGUCAUGACGGUACCGUAAGAAUAAGCACCGGCUAACUACGUG